rnacentral:rRNA from 1 species
GAAUUCACUAGUGAUUCAGGCCUAACACAUGCAAGUCGAGCGAUGAAGCUUCUUCGGAAGCGGAUUAGCGGCGGACGGGUGAGUAACACGUGGGUAACCUACCUUGUAGUGGGGAAUAGCCUUUCGAAAGAGAGAUUAAUACCGCAUAAGAUUGUAGCUUCGCAUGAAGCAGCAAUUAAAGGAGCAAUUCGCUACAAGAUGGACCCGCGGCGCAUUAGCUAGUUGGUGAGGUAAUGGCUCACCAAGGCAACGAUGCGUAGCCGACCUGAGAGGGUGAUCGGCCACAUUGGGACUGAGACACGGCCCAGACUCCUACGGGAGGCAGCAGUGGGGAAUAUUGCACAAUGGGGGAAACCCUGAUGCAGCAACGCCGCGUGAGUGAAGAGGGUCUUCGGAUUGUAAAGCUCUGUUUGGGGACGAUAAUGA